UACGUAGGGUGCAAGCGUUGUCCGGAAUUAUUGGGCGUAAAGAGCUCGUAGGCGGUCUGUCGCGUCGGAUGUGAAAAUCCAGGGCUCAACCCUGGACCUGCAUUCGAUACGGGCAGACUAGAGUUCGGUAGGGGAGACUGGAAUUCCUGGUGUAGCGGUGAAAUGCGCAGAUAUCAGGAGGAACACCGGUGGCGAAGGCGGUUCUCUGGGCCUUACCUGACGCUGAGGAGCGAAAGCGUGGGGAGCGAACAGG
rnacentral:rRNA from 1 species